rnacentral:rRNA from 1 species
UACGUAGGGUGCAAGCGUUAAUCGGAAUUACUGGGCGUAAAGCGCGCGCAGGCGGCGAUCUACGUCUGGGGUGAAAGCCCGGAGCUCGAACUCCGGGACUGCCUUGGAUACGGGAUCGCUUGAGGAUUGGAGAGGCAAGGGGAAUUCCACGUGUAGCGGUGAAAUGCGUAGAUAUGUGGAGGAACACCUGUGGCGAAGGCGCCUUGCUGGCCAAUUUCUGACGCUGAGGCGCGAAAGCGUGGGGAGCAAACAGG